GGACUGACAGACAUGUGGCUGCUCUCCUGACAGCGUGUCUGUGCAGGGUAGUGUUUGGUGCUCCACAAAGCUGUGUGAACUGACUGAGAGCUGGACUGCCCUGGAGUCUGUGUGGGCGUGGCGUGCUUCCUGCCGCCGCUGCUGUAUUGGGUUGUGUGUGCUCUCCUUCAUGCUGCCAGCUGCACAGUCAUCAGCUGCAGUUGACCCCGGGCUUUACUGCUGUUUUGGCUCCCUGUUCUGGAUGUGCUUGGCACUUGAUCACCGCGUCUCCUGCUACAUAGAGCACUUUUCUACCCCGGUGUCCUGACGGACGGGCCGGGCUCCUCCAACAGCGUUGUCCAACCGCAAGCAGCUUAGGAGCAUGUUUAAGUGCCGGACUCACUUGUUUUUAAAGAUGCAGAUGCACUGCUUCCUUUGAUUUCUUGUUGCUUUUUGUUUCUUCUGUUGGAUUAGUGCUUACUUUUCUCU